rnacentral:misc_RNA from 1 species
GUAUCCUCAAGCUUUGCUUGGUGUUGGGCACUUGUCUUAGUGAAGCCUAAAGACUUGCCUUAAAUGUAUUGGCAGCCAGUAUUUUGGUUUGAAAUGUGCAGCACAGCGCCUCAAGCUAUUCAAUACAGGCGACCAUGAAGAUUUUGACUC